AUCUGAAUUGGAAUAAAGAUUUAUCGGUUAUGGAUGGGGAUGCGUCUGAUUAGAUUGUUGGCGGGGCAACGGCCCACCAAGUCUACGAUCAGUAGGGGUUCUGAGAGGAAGGUCCCCCACAUUGGAACUGAGACACGGUCCAAACUCCUACGGGAGGCAGCAGUGAGGAAUAUUGGUCAAUGGGCGAGAGCCUGAACCAGCCAAGUAGCGUGCAGGAAGACGGCCCUAUGGGUUGUAAACUGCUUUUGUAUGGGAAUAAAGUGCUCCACGUGUGGAGUUUUGUAGGUACCAUACGAAUAAGGACCGGCUAAUUCCGUGCCAGCAGCCGCGGUAAUACGGAAGGUCCGGGCGUUAUCCGGAUUUAUUGGGUUUAAAGGGAGCGUAGGCCGUGGAUUAAGUGUGUUGUGAAAUGUAGGCGCUCAACGUCUGACUUGCAGCGCAUACUGGUCCACUUGAGUGCGCGCAACGCGGGCGGAAUUUGUCGUGUAGCGGUGAAAUGCUUAGAUAUGACGAAGAACCCCGAUUGCGAAGGCAGCUCGCGGGAGCGCAACUGACGCUGAAGCUCGAAAGUGCGGGUAUCGAACAGGAUUAGAUACCCUGGUAGUCCGCACGGUAAACGAUGGAUGCCCGCUUUUCGGUCAUUAGACCGUGAGGCCAAGUGAAAACAUUAAGCAUCCCACCUGGGGAGUACGCCGGCAACGGUGAAACUCAAAGGAAUUGACGGGGGCCCGCACAAGCGGAGGAACAUGUGGUUUAAUUCGAUGAUACGCGAGGAACCUUACCCGGGCUUGAAUU
rnacentral:rRNA from 1 species